rnacentral:lncRNA from 1 species
GGAGAGCAGCAGGAAAACCUGCAGUUCUGAAGUGACUGUUUUUAAAGCAACUGCAGGCAGACACAAGCACGUGCUAAACGAGAACGAUGGCUGGGAUGGACCCUCACACUCAGUCAGUGACACUCUGGUCAGCACCAACUGCACACAUUAAUCUUGGUUUCAGUUUUAAGCUCACGGCACACCCCCAAGGUCACACCUGCUGCAGUCCUGGCAGUGGAUCCCAGGAAGCCCCGCACUUUACUUACAUGAAAUACAAACAUCUCGAACUAACGCUUCCAAAAAGCUGGCGUAAUGUAAGGACUUCUCAUACUGUGUGAUUUUCUCUUUUAGUAGUUUGCCAAAUUCCGUGAAGUCAUCUUUUGAGGAGGGGUUCAUGGCAUCUAUUCCACAAGCGUUAUUUACACCAAACGUUUCUUUUGCUAACUCAAGGUCUGACUCCUCUUGCAAUUUCUUUAGUCGUAGUUUGUCUGCUAACUGUUCUUCUGGUGUAAGUUCUUUAUGUUCCUCUGGAGCCUCUAACCUUUUUUUAAGCUCCUCUUGCUUUUUCUUCUGUUGCUUUUCUUUUUCUUUUAUCUUUUCUGCUAUUUUCUUUUUUUCUGACACUUUGGGUUCUUGUUUCACCUCCGCCUCCUUUACUUCCUCCUCUUCCUCCUCAUCAUCCCAGUUAUCCUUCACGUCGUCCUCCUCGUCCUCGCCGGCCCAGCGGUCGCCGGCCACCCCCGCCGGCACCAAACGCUUCGCCACCGGCUCCACCACCUCGAAGGUGUCGGCGUCCCAGGAAUCCGCCUCCGCCGCCAUCUUCCCGCGGGAGCGCGGCCGCCGGCGCGGGCACUGUGAGUCAGCCGCAGCCAGCGGACCCGGCGCGCGCCGCGCGGAGCACCGUGGGAGCGCGCCCCGCCCCUUCGGGCCGCGCGCUGCCUCUUCCCGCCAUCUUGGGAGGGCCGAGGGGACGGCCGCGCCGCCAUUUUGGGAGGGCUGAGCGGCCGCGCCGCCAUUUUGGGAGGGCUGAGCGGCCGCUCCGCCUCCGCGCUCCCCGCCCGGUCGGGGCGGUUCUCGGCGGGGCGCCGCGCGCAGCCGUCGUGUGAGGGACGCGGGAGUGUCUCUGGUCAAACGGCUCGUGGCGGGUCCUCCGACCGCUCCACGUACAGUAGAAACGUAACAACCACCAUCGCAGGAGCGCGAGCCCGCAGAACGCGGCCCCAGAGCACACCCGGCCCGGCCUGUCCUGAGGCGGAGGCCUGAGGGUGAAAGACGUGAAACCUGUGAGGACCCCGGGCUGUGGGUUUGGUCCUUGGGUAGGUGUAAAAACAAUGGGAACGGUCUUGGGAAAGCACGGAAGAAAAGCUGCGGGGAGUCUGGGAAUUACCAGCGCUCUGACCCGGAUCGCCCCCUUCGCUGCCGCAUCUCGUCCUGCUUUGCCAGGCGAUGAACAGUGAGAAAGCAGCACUGCGUCCCAAUGGCUGCCGCUCGGCAGCCCGGAGCCGUGUGGGUGCACAACCGCAGCGGUUGAGGCCCGCCGGGAGCGGCGUUACUCCCGCAGUGCACACACGGCACACACGGCAGCCUUCCUGCCGGCACGGCGCUCCCGUCCCGACACGGAACCGACUCCUCUCAGAGGACUAAGAGCCACCGAGCCAGAGGACGCUGCGGAUCCACAGCACAUUUAAACUGAAGCGCUCGGGUUACAACAGCUAAGUGCUGUUCCCAUUGUACAGAUGAGGAAGUGAAGGCACAGCUCGGAGCUGGGGGCACUUCUCUCCAGGCCUCAGGGCUGCAGCUGGGAGCACCACGCAGGACGGAGGCAGACCUGACCUGGGCACCCCACGUCUUCAGUGGAAUAUAUACUGCGUGCUGAACACCGGGUCUGCAGCAGGACUGCCCUGCAGGAACCUGCUGCUAGCAAUUACAGAAUAUUUUAUUCUCCAAUAGCCUCGGCUUUUCAAAAGCACAAACACCACUUAUUUUCCUUCAGUUUUAAAGGCUGAAAACUGACAUGAGAAAUGCCUUGCUCGACAGAGAACUGAGUCUUCAGCGCAGCACUGAUCAUAGCUAAAAGUCAUAAAAACAGUAACUGGAGUAUAAAUAUUUAAUAUAAAUCUUUAUGAUUCUAUAUACUAGAAAUGAUAGCAGAAAAAAACACAAUUUGUAGAACAUUGGUUCUCUUCCAAUUGUAUUUUACAAGAUUCAGCCUAUCAGUACAAUGACAUUUUUGCAAGUAUAAAAAAAAUAAAGCAAAACAGUAUUACAUUACACAGUCAAGACAACCAAAAUAGUGAUGUGCUUAACAGAACCUAUACAAGUCAAUCCUUACCCAGCCUUCCUUGCUUGUUUCCAAACAAAGUUGCUGUCUUUUUUUUUUAAUUUAUAUAUAUCUUUUUUUUUACAAAAUUAUGACUACUAGCUAAGAAAACAAUGCAUCUAUGCUACUUCUCAUCAGCCAUUUAUCAACUUGUUACCAAUUUCAUUUAAGCAUCAAAAAUCCAAGAUGCAAAUCUGCAAUUACAUGGUUUUGGCCUAAUCAGAUCUUUGAGAGCAGUCCUUUAAUGUCUCUAAAGCACACAACAACAUUGUUCUUCAGCUGAACGACUUCAGCGUGGCCGUUACAAUUCCCGAACAGCCAUCUUCCCACGGGCCUUCCUUUAGCUUCCACCGCACAGCAGCUCCAGCCGGCCCUGGUCAGCACAGCACACUCCAUCCCCACGGACCAGAUCCUGCUCAGGCCCAACACAGCCCUGGAGGCGGAAGGCAGUGGGAAACCGACAUCCCCAGGGGAGAGAAGGGAAAAGGGGCAGCCUUCAGAACCGGCCGUCAGCACUGAGCCGUGCGCUGCUGCCCGACACCCGCUGUGCUGCCGAGGUGCCACCCGGCUCUCAUCUUUUUAUUUCACCUUGGUAUCAGGCUUUGAUAAUGAGAUUAAAGCAGCUUAAUGGAGUUGGCUGAACCACCUGCCCGCUUUGCUGCACAGAUCCACAGAAGUCCUUUCCCCAUAAAAAUAACCAAUAUUUAACUUGAAAUUCUACUUACAGCGGAAGACGUUAUUUUAAUGUAAUAGCAAUUAGUUUCUCGUUGCACUUACUGGAACAAACCCAACAGCUGUGCUGAUAUCACACCAGUAGGUGGUUGGUCGUUUCUUUCAAUUGAUAAUAUGUUGUGAAUGUUUACUUUUUGGCCUUCACUUCCUGAAAUCCAUUCCAUUUAGCUAUAUGUACUAGAUUAAUUUCAGCUAUGUAAAUAGUAAUUUUACACUGGAAUUUUAGCUUUGUAAAGGUGUGCUCUCCGAGUCCUUCAAACGGAAGGUAACGGGAGCACGGGAUGGAGAGGAGACAAAGAAGGCACAGAUUACUUUCCUAACUCCCCAAAUUUAGGUGUGCUCAGUGCUAAUCCAGUCCCCCAGUCAGAAGAAAGAGGAAUGACAGCGAGGGACACACAAGGAGUUCUGCAGCCACAACUCACUGAUGUAAGCACCCCACCGCUGACGGGGCUCUCCUUGGUUUUAGUACAUUUGUGAAGUUACAAAUGCCAUCAUCUACCUUAAUGCCUACACUAACGGGAUGUGGCUGAUUCAGGUUGAUUUAGACAGAGAAUAAAGGUAAUGAUUUGCAAUGCAAUGCUAUAAGGAAGUCAGAACCAGAAGGAAAAAAAAAAAGAAGAUCAAUGAACAUGGGUAUUUACUUGGAUAGCAACACUCUUGUGUUUCUGGACAGCUUUUCUAACCAACCAACCAAGCUCUACCACUGCAGGCUGCUGCAGACCACAGGCCCACAUCACCACACGGUUACUGGGAGGCAGGCUGAUGAGAUCUGUACCCACUCUGCCCUUUCCUCAGCCACUCACUCCGGUCCCUCUCCUCACCGGGGCUCAAUGCUUUGUCAGUUGUGCCAAUCCGCCUAGUGCCCAAACAAGGUCUCUGGAAGAGUCUAGGAGGGGAGAAGGUGUGGGAUGAGAAGGACGCUUGCUUCCAGCAGUGAGUGAGAGCAAACAGUUCUGCACUUACACAUCUGGUUACUUUUAAUAACAUGUUUCAGUGCUCUGUUUAAAGAAGUGCCUCCUUAUAGCAUGCAUUCAGCUGAUCAAACACCUUCCCAAGGAAGAGUUGUAGCAGGUCUUGAAACAUUCAGGCUUUCAGAUACAUUUGAAUAAUAAUGAAAAAAAUCUCUUUCGAUAGAGAUGGAAGGUGAAAUGAAUCAAAGGUGGAAAAGCAGCCAGCAAUGGAAGUAUGAAAUAUUGUUUUGCUGUCCAAACGAAAAACACUCAAACCUAAAACAGGAUACAUACAAACACGUACAAUUAGCAACCAGUUGCCAUAAUCGGGUCAAAGACCACAAAUGAAACCGUAGACAAAAAUGAAACCAUUAAGAACUUUGGAAAUAGGAUGUUAUGUUUCCUAAACAUACAUAAAAUGAGAAUAAAUGAUAGAGCUGCAAGAUUAACUGCUUAAGUAGCACAGUUCUACAUUCAACCCCAAGUAACAGACGUAGUUGAGACCCCCUCGGUUACCAGCGCCAGUUUUGGUACGCACAGUUUGAUCCAGGCUGAAGUCAAACAGUGAGGUCCCACUCUGGAGACCAAGCGAUGCAAAUAAAGGCCGAAGGGAUUUAACUUUGCUUCAUGCAAAGACUUUGUUUUUAUGCCAGAAGCGUUUGACAUUUGUAGGAACUUACAUUUUGAAGAAGGUAGACUCAUUCUGCAAAGAAAGUUCAGAAUGAUAAAUAUCAGACUUGCAGCACAUUAAAAUAUUAAUAUUUAAUAUGUUUACUAAGCAGUCUCUGUAAUUUUUGUUGUGCAUCUAUGUAGAACUAAAUCCUCCAAUUUACAUUUCCGUUUCCCUCACUGAUCUGAUAAUCACAACACAGAUACAGCUGUAAAGUGCAAUGUAUGCUUUGGUUUCCUUAACUAAAGAAAGCACUUUCAUAAUGGUUUUAGCCAAAGAUAGGACGCACGUGUGUAAGGACGUUAUCAGAACAGAUGAUAAUCUCUUUUUACAAUCAGAGAACAGCUAUGAGCUACUGAACAAAAACGGGUUCCUUCUGGUAGCCUGGUGAUGUGUAAAGCAGUCCUAUGGUGUAAAUUGCUCAAAGGAAUCUGGAAGAAUUCCACGCUAAACAAGGAUUCGCUGUUGAAACUAAUUAAAAAUCUCAGAUUUAGAUUUACAUUUUAACGAACAGCUAAAAAAUAGUUGGCAAACCAUGAAGCAAUUCAAAUACAAGCCGACCAUUUUCAGAAUCUAUAAAUAUUUCCAGAACCAUCUCAUCAACAUAAAACAGGGGGAGCGGGGAUGGUUACAGGUUCACACGUCUGCGCAAAGCAUAUAUAAAGGUCAUGUUAUGUACAUUUUAUUUCAAUAAAGACAUAAGACAAACAGUGUAAAGAUGCCCAGAUGCCCUAAAGAUAAAUACAUUUAAAAGAUUCUCAUUAAAAUGAAUCUGUAGUAUUUCUUUC